CCUACGGGCGGCAGCAGUGAGGAAUAUUGGUCAAUGGGAGAGAUCCUGAACCAGCCAAGCCGCGUGAGGGAAGACGGCCCUAUGGGUUGUAAACCUCUUUUGUCGGAGAACAAAACCCGGGACGUGUCCCGGACUGCGUGUAUCCGAAGAAAAAGCAUCGGCUAACUCCGUGCCAGCAGCCGCGGUAAUACGGAGGAUGCGAGCGUUAUCCGGAUUUUUUGGGUUUAAAGGGUGCGUAGGCGUUCCGUUAAGUCAGCGGGAAAAUUGCGGGGCUCAACCCCGUCGAGCCGUUGAAACUGGCAGACUUGAGUUGGCGAGAAGUACGCGGAAUGCGCGGUGUAGCGGUGAAAUGCAUAGAUAUCGCGCAGAACUCCGAGUGCGAAGGCAGCGUACCGGCGCCAGACUGACGCUGAGGCACGAAAGCGUGGGGAUCGAACAGGAUUAGAUACCCUUGUAGUC
rnacentral:rRNA from 1 species